GCCGGGCUAGCUCAAUCGGUAGAGCGUGUGGCUCUUAAAGACCUUUGAUUCGUUCAGAUUGUCUGCCACCACAAGGCUGCGAGUUCGAGCCUCGCGUUCGGCU